UGGCUCUCGCAUCGAUGAAGAACGCAGCGAAAUGCGAUAAGUAAUGUGAAUUGCAGAAUUCAGUGAAUCAUCGAAUCUUUGAACGCACCUUGCGCUCCUUGGUAUUCCGAGGAGCAUGCCUGUUUGAGUGUCGUGAACAUCUCAACUCAGAAGCAUUUGUUUGCUUUCUGGGCUUGGACUUGGAGGUUUUUGCUGGCGAUGGUCGGCUCCUCUCAAAUGCAUUAGCUGGGCUUAGCUCAGAGGAAUGAUCGGUGUGAUAAUUAUCUGCGCCGUCACUCAUGACUCUGGAUCCCGCUUCCAAUCGUCUCUCCACGAGACAAUUCAUUUGAACAUCUGACCUCAAAUCAGGUAGGACUACCCGCUGA
rnacentral:misc_RNA from 1 species